CUUUUCUUUUACAGCUGAUACACCACCCAUCUCCUUUUAUUUGCCGUACAGAACACCGGCGAUGGAGAGAGAGAACCAUGUUUGAGAGAGAGAGAGAGAGAGAGAUAGAGCGUUGCGAUAGUAGUCAUAGAAAGAGGGAGCCAGUGAUCGACGAUUAAUAAGGCGACGAAGGUGGUUCUGUUUCUAGCGAUGGCGGUGACUUCAAGUAACGAAGACCCGACUAGGGUUCGAGCGACAUUCCGGCUGCCCCUUUUUACACUGUAAGUUCGACGUUUUUGAAAGUUCAAGGACAUUCUUCGGAAUACAUCUUCGUUCAGAUCCUUAACUCCGCACAUUCGUCUCCACACAUUUGCAUUAGGGCUUUUUUUCUAUUGAUAACCCUAACUACGUUCUUCUUUUACUAUCAUAAUUUUCGUGAUCUGCAGUUUCACUCUCCUCUUUCCAUCCAAUAUCAACCAUUUGCAGGUUCACCAGGAGUGGGGUUCAUGCCGCAUAUCCUUGAUGUUGCUGGAGAGGUUCAACCUUGACCCUUUAAUGUUUCUUUGGUAUAGUUUGUUUAUUUUUUUUUUACUACUAUAUUUGUAUGGUAAUAAUUGGUUCAGACCCAGACUCUAACACUCGGCCUCUCUCUGUAUUUGAUGAGUAUCCUUGGUUUUAAAAAGUGAGAGGCGCACAAAAGCGACGAGGUCUAAAACCAAGGCACGAAGCGCAAAAGCGGUGGGCUUUUCGUACCCGAGGCGCAAAGUGAUUAUAUAACUUUUUAUAUCUUUUUAAUAUAUUUCAUAAGUUUUUAGCAUCCUUUAUUCAAAAUAUAGCAAUAAAAAAGGUUUAUAUAUGAUUUUACCUAUAAGUACAAGCCAAAAAAACCUAAUGUACAACAGUUUGAUGCUUAAAAACAGCUUAUGUACAUGAGGCGCGCGCCUCAGGCCUGAAAACACCCCCAAAAAUGCGCUUUUUGGGGCUUCUUGUAAAAAGCGUGCCUCAGGCUACCUGAGGCGCCCAGACUUGUGCCUUGAUGCGCCUCGCGCCUAGGCGCGCCUCAGGCACGCUUUUUAAAACCCAGUGAGUGUCAAGAAUAAUACGCAGGUAACAUAUGCUUCCAUAUAAUUGAUCUUUUGUUUAAAGGUUAUUGUAGUUGGUAUGCGUUUUCUAGGUAGUUAAAGGUUCAAGGUGCAGCCAACAAUAUACUCAAUAUGGAUGCAACUCGGAGUGUGGAAAGGAUUGCCCCUGCUUAAACAAUUCCCCUGCUGUGAAAAGCAUUGUGGGUAUGUAUUAUGAGUUUAAGAAGUGAUGUCAGCAUCGUUCUUUUAAGAGACAUACAUGCACGCCUGGUUGAACAUGUCAUAUGUUACUAAAAUCGAUGAUAUAAUACAAAGUAACCGGUGGAUCAGGGCUGUUGCACGUACAACUUUGUUUUAAACGUAUUAUGUAUCAGUUAAUUUCGCUCCAUGAUUGAUAAAAAUUGUAUAUCAGGGCUACUGCACGCACAACUUUGUUUUAACUACAAUUUCUCUUGCAAAAUGUUUGACAAAGCCUAGCAUUUACAUUCCUAUCAAGAUACAAAAGGUACAUAUCGCAAACUUCUUAUAGAUUCACAUAUCUUGCUUUUAUGUGUUACAAUUGAACUACAAAAAAGAUGUGCAGAACCAACCAUAUGCUUAAAAAUGUGGAUAAUUAAUUUAUAAGAAACUACUAUUUUCCUAAGCUUAAUGAGAUCUGGGUUGGUGGGUUACUAUGGGACUUGAUCUAAACACUAGCUUAUAGAAUACAAUAACUUACCCGACUAUGUUGCCUAAGCUCCAGUUGAAGGAGAUGAAAGUUUUGAUAAUAUAGACAAUGUUUCUUAUGGUACGAUUAAUGUUUGAGAUCAAGUCUUUUUCAAAUAAAUAUGAAUUUGAGUGAGAAUUGGAACGGUCUCGGUCUGGUGCUUACGAAAGCUUUGAAACAAAAUUGUUUUGAGAAUGGUUCAGGUACCUUGGCUGCUACUGUUGAAGAAACGUAGGCGAUGUCUUAUUUGCGGGUUAGAAACCGUUCUGGGGUACUGGCGCAAUAUGGGUCAAGUUGGGCAGUGCAACUUGCUGUGUAUUGUUGUUGUAUGCCUGUAAAAUUUAGUUUAAUAUGUUUGUUUUCCUUUUUGCUUCCCUUGGUGUACUGUGGCGAGCCUUUGGCUUGUACUUUUUUUUUGGGUUAAUAAAAAAUGGUGUUUUGUUUUCCAAACACGAUGGGUAAUAUAUGUGGCCCCGACCGCAACGCGGCGGGUGCUAUUUCUAGUUGAUAUUUAAUAAAGAAUUAUUGUUUCAUUUUGCAGGAAAUAUGCCAACCAAAAAGUAAAGGGUGCUUCUUCGAUGGAUUCACAAACUAUUGAUCACAUCAUAGAUUCACAAACUGUUGAUCACAUGAAGAGUGUUGUGAAUGCUAUGGCGCCUAUCAUCAUCCAACAACAUAUCCCUAAUGCAAACCUAUCUUUGGUUCUUAGUUCUUUUUUUGGUUCUUAGUAAUAUGAACCUGUUACAUGCGUGAACCAUCAUUUGUUCCUUUAUGAUUACAUAUUUAUUUGAAAUAUAAUGAUUCUUUCAUUA